UCGCUCGCGUUCCCAUGACGACACGUGUGCGUUUCUGCCCCUCUCGCCCCGGACGCGCUCGCGAGCCGUGGUGGGCGCACGCGCCACUAAGCACCUUGUGGCAACAGGUUUUAGAGCGGCCGCCGCCGCCGAAAUCAGCUUGCCCGGAAUCGAGCAUUCGGUCGAAUUUGACUCGGAUCAAUAUUGAUCGAAGCCGCGGAAGAGCGGAGGCUGGGAAUUCGACAAGGGGAAUCGCGCCCCGAGAGAGAGAGAGAGAGAAAGAGAGAGAGAGACUGUGGAGCAGCAGUAACACGAGAAGGAUGGGCUGCUUGCGGUUAGGCGACAGAGUCUGGAUUAUCGAGGCCUCGUAAUGUGGAUUCCGCAGGAAUAAUGUGCACCUGGAGGGAAAGAGCUGCCGGGGAUUACGGUCGACGACAUGGGAGGAGAGUGGCUGUUACGGGGAGAAUAACGCGGCGAAAGUAUACGGUUCCGUCCGCUCAAGAGCAUCAGCGAAUGGCGUUCGAUAUCCGUGAUGUCUUGGCGCUGUUAUGAUAACAAAGUGCUAUCGUUAUUAAAAAAAAACAUGAUGCAUUGUAAACUUUUUUCAUAUGUUGCGCAGUUAGAUUUGUCGCAAAAGGUGUAUUGCCCAUUGUAUUGCCCCUAAAAAUACCGUUUUUGCCAUAUAUUGCCCUUAAAAAUAUCGUUUAUGCAAUAAUUACCGAGAUAUUAAUUAAAGAUUUA